rnacentral:rRNA from 2 species
GGAUUUCUGUCGUGGUCAUCCGGCUCCGCCUGUAUAGGUGUGCGCCUGGUUUGCCCUCGGCUUUCUUCCGGUAGCCUACCGCGCUUCACUGCGUGCGUGGGUGUUUUCCGGAACUUUUACUUUGAGAAAAAUAGAGUGUUUCAAGCAGGCUUGUCGCCCUGAAUACUUCAGCAUGGAGUAAUAAGAUAGGACCUUGGUUCUAUUUUGUUGGUUUCUAGGACCAAGGUAAUGGUUAAUAGGGACAGUUGGGGGCAUUCGUAUUUAACUGUCAGAGGUGAAAUUCUUAGAUUUGUUAAAGACGAACUACUGCGAAAGCAUUUGCCAUGGAUGUUUUCAUUAAUCAAGAACGACAGUAGGGGGUUUGAAGACGAUUAGAUACCGUCGUAAUCUCUACCAUAAACUAUGCCGACUAGAGAUAGGGAAUCCAUUAGCCCAAUCUUCCCUGCACCUCAUGAGAAAUCAAAGUCUCUGGGUUCUGGGGGGAGUAUGGUCGCAAGGCUGAAACUUAAAG